CAGAGAAUAGUUUAAAAAAAAUAUUAGUUUUGGGAAUUGAAGAUAAAGUACUUGCUUUUUCUCUGA
rnacentral:tRNA from 1 species